CCUCAAUCUCUGAAUCUCUCUGAUGUUAUAAAAUUCUUUCCAAAUGUUGGGGGAAGAGGGUGUCGGUGUGCCUGCGUUUUUAAAAAGACACGUCUUUUACGGGCCGGAUUUUAUCUCGGCACCGUCUCUCCACCCGGCUAGAGAGGGUUUAAUAACGGUCAGCGCCUCUGUGUGUUGGAUUUAAUUAUGUAGGACACCGCAGAUACUCUCCAAGCAAAUGGGCGUGCAGCAUAUUUUAGCAUGUCCCAGAGUCCCCCUGUGAGAGAGAGCUUAAUCGCAGGAAUCUCUCU
rfam:Monodelphis domestica chromosome 5, whole genome shotgun sequence.